UAGUCCACGCCCUAAACGAUGCUUACUCGAUAUCUGCGUUUACGUGGGUGUCCAAGGGAAACCGUUAAGUAAGCCACCUGGGGAGUACGUUCGCAAGAAUGAAACUCAAAGGAAUUGACGGGGGUCCGCACAAACGGUGGAGCAUGUGGUUUAAUUCGGUGAUACACGAGGAACCUUACCUAGGCUCGAACGCUAUUGGCCAGCUGGUGAAAGCCAGUUUUUCUUCGGAACUGAUAGUGAGGUGCUGCAUGGUUGUCGUCAGCUCGCGCCGUGGGGUGUUGGGUUAAGUCCCGCAACGAGCGCAACCCCUAUUUUCAGUUGCCAGCACAUAAUGGUGGGGACUCUGGAAAGACUGCCGGCGUAAGCCGUGAGGAAGGUGGGGACGACGUCAAAUCAUCAUGGCCUUUAUGCCUAGGGCUACACACGUGCUACAAUGGCGGGUACAGAGGGUCGCGAAGCCGCGAGGUGGAGCUAAUCCCAGAAAGCCCGUCCCAGUUCGGAUUGGAGUCUGCAACUCGACUCC
rnacentral:rRNA from 1 species